GUGCAGUGCUCCCUCUAGGUGGGCAAGUCUCCUGCAGGUGUCCAACUCAGGUGGACUCACUGAGGGGAGCUCACACCAUGACCCAGGGGUACUGAAGGCUCUGAGGUUUGGGCCCAGGAGGUGGUGAAGCCAGAUGGCUUACCCCAGUGAGAGAGUGUGACCCUAAGGGGGCUGACACACUGAGGGGUCCUCCCAGGGACUCUUCCAGAGCGGUGCGAGAGCACUGGACCUGUGGAUCUGUGACACCUUGUGACAAGUUGGG